GAGGAAAAGAAACUAACAAGGAUUCCCCUAGUAACGGCGAGUGAAGCGGGAAGAGCUCAAAUUUGUAAUCUGGCACUUUCAGUGUCCGAGUUGUAAUCUCGAGAAGUAUUUUCCGCGCCGGACCGCAUACAAGUCUGUUGGAAUACAGCGUCAUAGUGGUGAGAACCCCGUAACUGAUGCGGAUGCCCGGUGCUUUGUGAUAUACUUUCGAAGAGUCGAGUUGUUUGGGAAUGCAGCUCAAAUUGGGUGGUAAAUUCCAUCUAAAGCUAAAUAUUGGAGCAAGACCGAUAGCGAACAAGUACCGUGAGGGAAAGAUGAAAAGCACUUUGGAAAGAGAGUUAACAGUACGUGAAAUUGUUGGAAGGGAAACGCUUGAAGUCAGACUUGCUAUUCGGAGUUCAGCCGCAAGGUGUAUUCUUCGAUUCGCAGGCCAGCAUCAGUUUUUGGGGGUGAAAAAUCGCGGUUUGAAGGUAGCAACUUCGGUUGUGUUAUAGCUUUCCGCUGGAUUCAUCCUCGGGGACUGAGGAACGCAGUACGCUUUUUGCAAGGCUCUCGAGCUUUUCGUACUUAGGAUGCUGGUGGAAUGGCUUUAAACGACCCGUCUUGAA
rnacentral:rRNA from 1 species